GAUGAACGCUGGCGGCGUGCCUAAUACAUGCAAGUCGAGCGAACAGACGAGGAGCUUGCUCCUCUGACGUUAGCGGCGGACGGGUGAGUAACACGUGGAUAACCUACCUAUAAGACUGGGAUAACUUCGGGAAACCGGAGCUAAUACCGGAUAAUAUAUUAAACCGCAUGCUUCAAUAGUGAAAGACGGUUUUGCUGUCACUUAUAGAUGGAUCCUCGCCGCAUUAGCUAGUUGGUAAGGUAACGGCUUACCAAGGCAACGAUGCGUAGCCGACCUGAGAGGGUGAUCGGCGACACUGGAACUGAGACACGGUCCAGACGCCGACGGGAGGCGGAAGUAGGGAAUCUUCCGCACUCGGCGAAAGCCUGACGGAGCAACGCCGCGUGAGUGAUGAAGGUCUUCGGAUCGUAAAACUCUUUUAUUAGGGAAGAACAAAUGUGUAAGUAACUAUGCACGUCUUGACGGUACCUAAUCAGAAAGCCACGGCUAACUCCGUG
rnacentral:rRNA from 1 species